rnacentral:rRNA from 1 species
UACGAAGGGGGCUAGCGUUGUUCGGAGUUACUGGGCGUAAAGGGCGCGUAGGCGGCCCUUCAAGUCGGGCGUGAAAGCCCACGGCUCAACCGUGGAAUUGCGCUCGAGACUGAAGAGCUCGAGGAUGGGAGAGGAUGGUGGAAUUCCCGGUGUAGCGGUGAAAUGCGCAGAUAUCGGGAGGAACACCAAUGGCGAAGGCAGCUCGCUGGGACGGUACUGACGCUGAGACGCGAAAGCGUGGGGAGCAAACAGG